rnacentral:rRNA from 1 species
UAUGUGAUCGUCUCUCGCAUAUCAAUAAGCGGAGGAAAAGAAACUAACAAGGAUUCCCCUAGUAACGGCGAGUGAAGCGGGAAGAGCUCAAAUUUGAAAUCUUAAAGGGUUUCCCUUUACGAAUUGUAGUUUAAAGAAGUGUUUUCUGUUGAGGUUUUGGUAAAAGUUCUUUGGAAUAGGACAUCAUAGAGGGUGAGAAUCCCGUAUUUGACCUUUACUUUCAACUUUGUGAUACACUUUCAAAGAGUCGGAUUGUUUGGGAAUGCAGUCCAAAAUGGGUGGUAAAUUUCAUCUAAAGCUAAAUAUUGGCGAGAGACCGAUAGCGAACAAGUACCGUGAGGGAAAGAUGAAAAGAACUUUGAAAAGAGAGUUAAACAGUACGUGAAAUUGUCAAAAGGGAAGCGUUUGACACCAGUGUUGUUUUUCUGAAAAUCAAUUAAAGAACUGUUUAUGCUAAGUUGUUUAGACUUUAUCAGCUAACUGUUUAGUUUUGAGCUUUUCUUUAAUGCACUUUUCAGUUAACAAGUCAACAUCAAUUUCUUUUGCUGUAAAAAAGCUUGGGGAAGGUGGCUUGAGAUUCGUCUUAAGUGUUUAUAGCCUCUUGCCUAUGCAGUCGGAGAGAUUGAGGUCUGCAGCGUAGAUCCUUCGGGGCUAAAUGCAUUUGUGCUAAGUUAUAGCAUUUUAUAGACAACUUGUUGACUAUGAUUUGUCUUGUAGCUUACUCGCUUAUGUUAUUUUACCUACGCUUAGGAUGUUGAAUCUGUGCGAGACUAC